UACGUAGGGUGCAGGCGUUAAUCGGAAUUACUGGGCGUAAAGCGUGCGCAGGCGGUUUCUUAAGUCUGAUGUGAAAGCCCACGGCUCAACCGUGGAGGGUCAUUGGAAACUGGGGGACUUGAGUGCAGAAGAGGAGAGUGGAAUUCCACGUGUAGCGGUGAAAUGCGUAGAUAUCUGGAGGAACACCGGUGGCGAAGGCGGCAUUCUGGACUGCAACUGACACUGAGAGACGAAAGCCAGGGGAGCAAACGGG
rnacentral:rRNA from 1 species